GACGAACGCUGGCGGCGUGCUUAACACAUGCAAGUCGAACGGAAAGGCCCUGCUUUUGUGGGGUGCUCGAGUGGCGAACGGGUGAGUAACACGUGUGUAACCUGCCCUUGACUUUGGGAUAACUUCAGGAAACUGGGGCUAAUACCGGAUAUGAGCUCCUGCUGCAUGGUGGUGGUUGGAAAGUUUCGGCGGUUGGGGAUGGACUCGCGGCUUAUCAGCUUGUUGGUGGGGUAGUGGCUUACCAAGGCUUUGACGGGUAGCCGGCCUGAGAGGGUGACCGGCCACAUGGGGACUGAGAGACGGCCCAGACUCCUACGGGAGGCAGCAGUGGGGAAUAUUGCACAAUGGGCGGAAGCCUGAUGCAGCAACGCCGCGUGCGGGAUGACGGCCUUCGGGGUGUAAACCGCUUUCGCCUGUGACGAAGCGUGAGUGACGGUAAUGGGUAAAGAAGCACCGGCUAACUACGUG
rnacentral:rRNA from 1 species